CCUAAACCUUCCCUGGCACAGCUUGAUGCCAUUCCCUCGGGUCCUGCCAGCUGAAGCUCUCAGGGAAUUAAAGACACAGACGUGAUGUCGUGCUAAUGGUAUUGCCACCAAAAUACUGAAAUACAUUGUGAGGACCUAGAUUUCAGAUUCUGCCUGAAAAUCAGCUUCUCUGGCAUUGUAAUAUCCCAACACUGCCUCACGGGGUGGACUUGGUGCAGUUUCAGGGAGAAAAGAGCUGCUUGCAGAAUAAAAACCAUUUAUUCACAGGGAUUGUGUUUAUCACAGAGCUCGUGAAACAAGACUGUCCCAGUGAUAAUUACUAUGGCUGCAAAUAAAUAUUAUCCUUUCCUUUUUCUGUCCUACGUUCUUCAUCCUCCCUACAAAUAUCAGUGUGCUCUUCCUUUUAUAAGAUUAAUUGGAUUUUCAGUAGUGCUGAAGCACUUGCAAUCCAAAGAAGAAAAUGACACUUUCUAUAGCAAAUAAAACAUUUAAAAACUACUAGUCAACAUUAUUUUACUUGCGAAUUUCUUUGGAAAAUACCUUUAUCCUCACAUGAAAUGACAACAGAAAUAAAAACGGACAUUUUACAAGCACUGAACAAACAAAAGUGAGUGUGUAUGACUACUUCAUCUCCAAAGGAGAGUGAAGUGAUGCAUUCAACAUCUACAACAGGGGCAAAACGUUACAUUCCUGGGGCCAGAGCCAUCCUCAACACCAGGAAGGCAAGACACCUGCAUAAAAAUCCUAGGCCAGAGCUUUGAGUUCCUCCUGGAGAGCGUUUCAGCAGCCAAAAAAAGGACACUCUCAGAAGAUAAAAUGACAAAACAAAACAGCAAACAUUUGUCUUGACAAUACUAAAGGGAGAUGUGGCCCAAGAAGUUGCCUUUCUCAACGAAAAAUAACCCCUCCCACUUUACUUGGUCUUUUUGCAU